rnacentral:snoRNA from 14 species
CAACAAACCAGUCAGUGGAAGAGAGAUAGUCUUUAGAAGAAGAGCACCUCAUAGCCAUGGGAUCUCCAACUGCAUGCCAGAGUAACGGAGAGACUUUGACAGCCCGGGUUAUCACAGUGCCUGCUGUUGCCACUCAGCUCUCCUAUAUGU